GCACUAAGUCACUUUGUCUUUAUGGCAAAUGUGAGAUGCAGUGUAUGGAAUGUCAGAUUUCUAGUAUGAGAAAUUAACGAUUUAAGUCCUUCUUAAAUGAGGCCAUUUACCCAUAGAGGGUGCCAGGCCCGUAUAACGUUAAUGAUUACUAGAUGACAUUUCCAAAGAGUCGUGUUGCUUGAUAGUGCAGCACUAAGUGGGUGGUAAACUCCAUCUAAAACUAAAUAUAACCAUGAGACCGAUAGUAAACAAGUACCGUGAGGGAAAGUUGAAAAGAACUCUGAAUAGAGAGUUAAAUAGUACGUGAAACUGCUUAGAGGUUAAGCCCGAUGAACCUGAAUAUCCAUUAUAGAAAAUUCAUCAUUAUGAUUUUAAUAUUAACAAUAUUAUAAUAAUGGUGUGCAUUUUUUCUAUAACGGACAUUGUAAUCUAUUAACAUAAAUAUAUUUAUCAUAAGAUCAAGAAUCGUAAGAUUAUUCGAAUUAUUUUGCUUGCAAUUUAACAUAGAAUAAAUACUUCUUGAUUGGAUAAAGUGUUGAUAGAUUUAUUGUAUAUAGUGCUUAAAUAAUUGUAUUUUAUAAUAGCAUAUUAAUCAUUGAUUUUUAUGUUUAUUAUAUGCACUUAUAUGAUUAACAAUGCGAAAGAUUCAGGAUACCUUCGGGACCCGUCUUGAAACACGGACCAAGGAGUCUAACAUAUUUGCAAGUUAUUGGGUAUCAAAACCUAAUAGCGAAAUUAACAUAACUUUAAUGGGAUUAGUUUUUAGAUUAUUUAUAGUCUAUUAAUUCAAUCCCGGGGCGUUCUAUAUAGUUAUGUAUAAUAAUAUUUAUAUUAUUUAUACCUCUAACUAGAGCGUACCUUG
rnacentral:rRNA from 1 species